rnacentral:pre_miRNA from 1 species
AGUGGAGUUACUGGAUCAUGUGGUAAGUUUGUUUAACUUUUGGAAGAACUACCAAAUUGCUUUCCACAGUAGCUGUGUCAUUUUGCAUUGCCAUCAGCAAG